CAAAACAAAAUUGCUUUUUAAUUCUUGUUUUCAUCGCUGCUUCGGCUCAACGGCGAAGCGACACUGUAGCGAACGCAAUGUCAUCUAAUGUGCUGGGUGCCAGUGGGUGCACACAACAGAAACGUGUACAAAACGCGAUGUGUUGAAUGGCCCAGGAGGGGAUGACGUCGCAUUAAAAUGACUGCAUUAUCUACACUGGUUGGCAUGACAAGAAACAGGAAUAAUAUAAAGCCAAUAGAAAGGAAGCAAACCCAAAGUGGAUGCAAUAAAUGAGAAAAUAACCUUUUCGCAAUAACACGAUUUAGUUAAAUUCGAGAUGUAUCUGCAACUUUAACUCAAAGGAACAAAUUAUUUUUUAAGCCUGUAUGACAAAAUCUUCCUUCAACUCAAGGCGAAAAAAUAUAUUACCAAAAGGAAAUGGCGAAGAGCAAUGAAAAAUUCGUUUAUCUCUUUCGCACAUUACUAUUUGGCAUUUUUUGCACAAAAGAGACAAAAAUAAAAACAUGAAUAGAUUGUGAAUGGGCAAUAAACGGAACAGGUCAAAAGGACAGUGCUGCAUUCGAUCUUCCAGUAAGAAUUUUGUACACAAUUAAGAAAACAUGUGCAUCAAAACCGAAAGCCGACCCGCAAUGUUAUUAAAAAAAUUAAGUAGCAGAAGCAAAUAGUAUAGGUAGGGCUUUUUAAAAAGUGGCAUGUAACUCCGUUGUUUUUGG